rnacentral:rRNA from 1 species
UACGUAGGGCGCAAGCGUUAUCCGGAAUUAUUGGGCGUAAAGAGCUCGUAGGCGGUUCGAUAAGUCGGGUGUGAAAACUCUGGGCUCAACUCAGAGACGCCACCCGAUACUGUUGUGACUUGAGUCCGGUAGGGGAGUAUGGAAUUCCCGGUGUAGCGGUGAAAUGCGCAGAUAUCGGGAGGAACACCAGUGGCGAAGGCGGUACUCUGGGCCGGAACUGACGCUGAGGAGCGAAAGCGUGGGUAGCGAACAGG